AUUGAACGCUGGCGGCAGGCCUAACACAUGCAAGUCGAGCGGGGUUUUCGGACCUAGCGGCGGACGGGUGAGUAAUGCGUAGGAAGCUACCCGAUAGAGGGGGAUACCAGUUGGAAACGACUGUUAAUACCGCAUAAUGUCUACGGACCAAAGUGUGGGACCUUCGGGCCACAUGCUAUCGGAUGCGCCUACGUGGGAUUAGCUAGUUGGUGAGGUAAUGGCUCACCAAGGCGACGAUCCCUAGCUGGUUUUAGAGGAUGAUCAGCCACACUGGAAAUGAGACACGGUCCAGACUCCUACGGGAGGCAGCAGUGGGGAAUAUUGGACGAUGGGCGAAAGCCUGAUCCAGCCAUGCCGCGUGUGUGAAGAAGGCCUUCGGGUUGUAAAGCACUUUCAGCGAGGAGGAAGGGGUGAGUGUUAAUAGUACUCAUCUUUGACGUUACUCGCAGAAGAAGCACCGGCUAACUCUGUGCCAGCCGCCGCAGUAACAC
rnacentral:rRNA from 1 species